rnacentral:rRNA from 1 species
UGCAGAAUCCCGUGAACCAUCGAGUUUUUGAACGCAAGUUGCGCCCGAAGCCAUUAGGCCGAGGGCACGUCUGCCUGGGUGUCUCUCAUAAUGCGUCGCUACACACCAAAUCUCAUUAGGGCAUUGGUGCUUGAAGCGGAUAUUGGCUCCCCGUGUGCACUAGUGCGCGGUCGGCCUAAAAACGAGUCCCGAUGAUCGACGUCGCGGCAAGUGGUGGUUGUAAAGACUGUUUCAUGCUGUCGUGCACGUUUCGUUCGUUAUCGGGAGUCUCAUUGACCCUGUAGCGCCAUUUGCUUGGUGCCUCGAUCGUGACCCCAGGUCAGGCGGGAUUACCCGCUGAAUUUAAGCAUAUCAAUAAGCGGAGGAAAAGAAACUAACAAGGAUUCCCUUAGUAACGGCGAGCGAAUCGGGAAGUGCCCAGCUUGAAAAUCGUGCGGCUCUUGCCGUCCGA